GAUGAACGCUGGCGGCGUGCCUAACACAUGCAAGUCGAACGGACUCUUAAUCUGAUUUUUUAUCGGAACGCAUUCUUGAUGAGAGCGGACAUACAAUUUUUUAAUUCGUAAGAUAUUAAAAAAUUCGUAUGUCUGCUAGACAUCAAGAGUUAUUGAUAAGUAAGAGUUAGUGGCGGACGGGUGAGUAACACGUUAGUACUUACCCUUUAGUGGGGAAUAACUCGGCGAAAGUCGGGCUAAUACCGCAUACGAUCCUUCGGGAUGAAAGCCUUCGGGCGCUAAAGGAGAGGCUUGCGUCUGAUUAGCUAGUUGGUAGUGUAAUGGACUACCAAGGCGAUGAUCAGUAGCUGGUUCGAGAGGAUGACCAGCCACACUGGGACUGAGAUACGGCCCAGACUCCUACGGGAGGCAGCAGUGAGGAAUCUUCCGCAAUGGACGAAAGUCUGACGGAGCAACGCCGCGUGCAGGAUGACGGCCUUCGGGUUGUAAACUGCUUUUAUUUGGGAAGAUUGUGACGGUACCAAAUGAAUAAGGACCGGCUAACUACGUGCCAGCAGCCGCGGUAAUACGUAGGGUCCAAGCGUUAUCCGGAAUCACUGGGCGUAAAGCGUGCGUAGGUGGUAAUUUGCGUGCAGUGCGAAAUUGUGUGGCUCAACCAUACAACGGUACUGCAUACG
rnacentral:rRNA from 1 species